UCACUCUUAUUUCUUGUCAGAUUGUAUAAAUCGUUUGCCUUUUAUGAAAGAUCUCAAUGGGGAAGAACAACAAGAGUCUGUCUCAAUUUUUUGAUGCUCUGCAGAAGUGGAGCU